rnacentral:rRNA from 1 species
GCUUGCUUCUCUUGAGAGCGGCGGACGGGUGAGUAAUGCCUAGGAAUCUGCCUGGUAGUGGGGGAUAACGUUCGGAAACGGACGCUAAUACCGCAUACGUCCUACGGGAGAAAGCAGGGGACCUUCGGGCCUUGCGCUAUCAGAUGAGCCUAGGUCGGAUUAGCUAGUUGGUGAGGUAAUGGCUCACCAAGGCGACGAUCCGUAACUGGUCUGAGAGGAUGAUCAGUCACACUGGAACUGAGACACGGUCCAGACUCCUACGGGAG